rnacentral:lncRNA from 10 species
CUUUCACUUUCACUUAGAGCAAGAUGGCAGCCCGCGUCCCUGUGUGAAGCCGUCUGCAGCAGCUGCCAGAGCCCUGCUUGCUGUUUCCUUUCUCACCACCCACCUCACCCGGAAAUCCCCUGGUGAUUUCAAGACCUGACCUCUGCACCCUUUUGCUCCCCACCUGUCCCAAAAAAGUGGAGCUAUAACUGUGGGAAAAGGGGAUCUGAAGUCAGACACAGGAUCCACAGUAGCCUGGGGACCUUUCUCACCCCCGCCCUUAAGCAGGCCCCAACAUAACCGGCUGAGAAACCUCCUCUGCCAGAUCCUGACCUGAGCCAGGAGGCGGCCAGGAAACUGGAUUUUGGGACUGGGAUUUCAGAGAGGAAGCUGGAGAGCUGCAGGGUGGUCAUCUGUCACUUUAUUUUGCCCGUCUUGUAGCAUUCUCGAAAAGGCACUCUGUCACGUGUACACAGGAAAGGGCCCUGACAAGAGGAUGGGACUGCAGUUGUGGCUGCCAGGGCCCCGGCCAGGGUGAAAACAAGGAACAUUCCAGAGAAGAUCACAAGGAUGCGAAUAAAAUCGGAGCUGCACAGGGAUCUUUGGGCUGUAAUAGGAGGGGACACACAGGGGUUAGGGGAGGGUCUAGCCCUUGGCUCCCUCAGCCCAGCCCUCCUGUCACCUUGCCUCUCCCCUUUCCCCCACCUUAUUCUAUCCCACCCGCCACCGUUGGCCAACUCCUCUCCUAAACAGUGGACUCUGCUUUUUCCCCUCCUCUUAUCCCUAAUCCUAGGAGCUUUCUGUCUGGCUUCCCUCCUGGCCCCUCGUGUAUGCAUUCUCUCUAGCGGUGGGGAUUAAGGAGAAAACUCACGUGGCCAGUGGGUAGAGAGAGUCCGGGCAGGCAGCUGCCUGAAGUCAGCCAGAGUCUGCAUGUGCCCAGCUGUCCUGGCCUCCAGCAUCUCUGGAAAAACAGAGACAGAAUGAGUAGCAGCAGGGGACCCCAUAGGGCACAUCUGAAGGCCUGAGAGGUUGGAGUGCAGUGGCACGAUCUCGGCUCAGUGCAACCUCCGCCUCCUGAGUUCAAGUGAUUCUCCUGCCUCAGCCUCCCUAGUAGCUGGGAUUACAGGACAAGGAGAGGGACAAAUUCCUUCUUGGCAUCCUUAUGGCCCUGUGACCUGCUAAUGAAUGCUGACUCUGAGUUGCUACUAGAAUUUGGUUUCCUUGUGGCUUCCCAGGAAUUGGUCUCACUCUGCUCACUCUGUCUCCCAAGCUGGAGUGCAGUGGUACAGUCACGGCUCACUGCAGCCUCCACUUCCUGGACUCAAGUGAUCUUCUCACUUCAGCCUUCUGAGUAGCUGGGACUACAGCCCCCUCUGCAGCUCUUCAUGGGGGUCCACUCAAGUCAGAAGCCACAUUUGGGUGUGAUUCAGAGAGCUGUUUAUGCAAAACCAGCUUUGUCACCAUCAGGCAAGGCACCUGAAUUCCCACCGCAGAGAGUGUUGUGGCCGUGAGGACUUUUCUGUCACCAGCCAUUUCCAGGUAGACCCAGUGUAAUCACAAGCAUCCUUGUAAGUGGCAAAGAGGCAGAGGAGACAGCGCCAGAGAGGCAGCUGCAUGAGAAGGAUCAAGAUGUUGCUGACUUUGAAGUUGGAAGAAGAAGGCCAUGAGCCUCAGUAUGUGGGCGGCUUCUAGAAGCUGGAAGGGGCAAGGAGAUGGAUUUGACCCUUCAGCCUCCAGGGGCAGCUGUACCUGCCAUCACUGAUUGUAGCCUGGUGAGGCCUGUUUUAGACUUCUGACCUGUAGAGCUGUAACAUAAUACAUUUGGGUUGUUUUCAACCACUAAGUUUGUGGUAAUUUGUUGUAGCAGCUGUAGAAAAUGAAUACAUAUGAAUCCUCUGGCAUUUGUUUGAGAUUUGCUCUAUGGCCUAGUAUGUGGUUGUAAAUGUUCCAUCUGUGCCUGAAAAAAUGUAUAUUUCUAAUUCAGUAGUCUCUGCUUUUUUUUUUUAUUUUGUACCCCAUCAAUAAAAUGAUUUUCAGCAUGUAUCCCCAAAUAAACAAUAUUUUAUUUAUUGAUUGAUUGAUAAACAGACAUGUUUAAUGAUAGCUUGCUUUUCACAGAGGUGACUUCGGAGACUUCUAAUCUAUAAUCCAGGAGUAUAUAACCAUG